GGCGGACGGGUGAGUAACGCGUAAAGAACUUGCCCUUUAGACUGGGAUAACAGAGGGAAACUUCUGAUAAUACUGGAUAAGUUAGUAUAUCGCAUGAUAUGCAAAUGAAAGCUACGGCACUAAAGGAGAGCUUUGCGUCCUAUUAGCUAGUUGGUAAGGUAAGAGCUUACCAAGGCGAUGAUAGGUAGCCGGCCUGAGAGGGUGGACGGCCACAAGGGGACUGAGAUACGGCCCUUACUCCUACGGGAGGCAGCAGAG
rnacentral:rRNA from 1 species